rnacentral:lncRNA from 1 species
AGAGCGCCGGGGCGCCCCUGCCGCACCCGCGGAUCGCCGCGCGGCGCGGGAGCCCGGGGUUGCCGGACUCGCGUGCGCGGGGGCAGCGUCCCCGCGCCGGCCGGAGGGAGGCGCGCCCCCGCCGCGCCGCUCGGGCUCCAGCGCCGCUGCCACCUGACUCCCCCUGUCUCCCGCGGAAGCGCGCCUCUCUCCUGACCCACACCCAACACGGGGAGAAAUGCUGCUGCUCUCGCUCAGCUGCCGCUUCUCGGGAGUUCAAUGUGAUCGUUUCUCAAAAUGGAACUGAAAAGUUGAGAGUUCCUUCUUUCUUGCCCCUCUGUACUGUGCAGAAAAACGUAUGUGCGCCUCCCCGUCUGCAGAAUGGGAAUAAUGACCGAAUAAAAGAGCUAUGAAAAUAAACAUGGGUAGUGGGAGAGUUGGGAAAUAAAACUUUCUCGUGUUUUCUAAAAAAGAGUGAAGAAUCUUUAAUGAGGAAAUUGAAAAUUACCAGUUUUGUAGACUGUAUGGUAUAGCAAUUCUUUGUUUUAAAACAG